GUGCCAGCCGCCGCGGUAAUACGGAGGGUGCAAGCGUUGUCCGGAAUCACUGGGUGUAAAGGGUGCGCAGGCGGGGCAGCAAGUCGGAGGUGAAAGCCCAUGGCUCAACCAUGGAAGUGCCUUCGAAACUGUUGCUCUUGAGUCCCGGAGAGGCUGUCGGAAUUCGUAGUGUAGCGGUGAAAUGCAUAGAUAUUACGAAGAACACCAGUGGCGAAGGCGGCCGGCUGGACUGUAACUGACGCUGAGGCACGAAAGCGUGGGGAGCGAACAGGAUUAGAAACCCCAGUAGUCC
rnacentral:rRNA from 1 species